rnacentral:sRNA from 1 species
UUUUAGCCCAGAUGGAAAUGAAAACCCCGGACUUAUAUUUGUUCGUUUUUUUUGGUGUAAAAGAGCGACCAGCGGAAGCUCCUUUUAUGCCUUAAAAAAACAACAAAGAUAAGGAGGAGUUGCAAUGUACAGCUGGAUUAGCU